ensembl:lncRNA
CUUUGGGGAACACCUGGGGCUAAAUGAAGCCAACUUGGUAUAAAGCAGACUUUAAGGGUGGAGGGAACCAUGUCCUGAGGAAACCACUUCAAUUUGAUUCUAUUAAUGGUCUGGCUACUUUGCCUAGCCUGGAGCGAAACUAAAUCUAAUCUAGUCUAGGAUUAGCUUUACCACAGAAAGUUCCCAUACAUUUUGCUUAAACCUGUUUGAGUUGUGUUUCUGACACUUGGAUCAAAAGUAUAAUUAAUGAUUCUUUGUUCAAAAAAAUCUUUGGUGACUUUCAUUGCAAUGGACUGCAAGUGCCCUCUCAAAAUUCCUGUUGAAACUUAUUCCCAAAGUGAUGGUAUUUGAGGUGGGGCCUUAGAACGUGAUUAGGUCAUGAAGGUGGAGCCCCCCUGAACAGGGACUAGUGUCCUUAUAAAAGGGACUCCAGGGAGCUGUCUUGCUCUCACUCAGGCACUUACGUGGACACAAUGAGAAGACAGCGGUCUACAGGUGGGAGGAAGUUUCUCAUCAGAAUCUGGCCAUUCUGACACCCUGAUCUUGGACUUCCAGCCUCCAGAACUAUGUUGGCGCUUCUAGUAUCUACAUCAUUUCAUGUGGGGAAGGCUCAUGAUGAAGCAGAACCAUGCUUUUGUUUUGGAAGUAGACAUGAGAUGAACCAACAGAGGCUUGGAGAGGUGAACUCUUUUGCCAAGGCAGGCUUUCAGCCCAAGUAGCCUGCUUUCUUAAUGCCCAUACUUCAGCCUGAGCACAGUGGAAGGACACUGUGCCCCUCCCCCCAGGAGCUGGAGCAGUAGUGAGGAGGCAACAUACAAUAUUCAACGGAGACGAGCAGGCACGUCACCGCCUCCUGGAACUUAGACACAGUGGCUAACGCCUCGGCACCACUCUCGGGUCCAGUUUAAAGUCACCCGCUCAACAGCCAGAGUCGGCCUGCAGAAAUGAAGAUCACCUACUCUCAAGGCUCCAGUGACUUUCUAUUCCUCUUAAGAUGAAGUCCCUUCACCUUCCCAUGACCUGCAGGCCUGUGUGAUGGGUUCCUGCCCGCUCCAUCCCCCCUCCUAUCACUUCCUACCUGCUUUCUCUGCUCCAGCUCUUCUUAUCAUUGUGCUUUUUCUUGAACCCACCAAGCCUGUUCCAUCUCCCUGGGCUUUCUUCUCUGGGAGAUGUACAUGGCUCCCUGUGCACCCCAUUGCUGCAGGCUUCUGGUUCAACGUCUCCUCGUCAGAGAGCCUACGCAGACCACUCUGCCUGAAACCAGCCGCUCCCUUCACUCUCUGUGCCCUUACUCUGCUUCAUUCUUUUCCAUAGAAUUUACCCCUCCUCACAUCUUGACUGCCCAUUUUCAUUAGAAGGUAAGCCCCACAGAGCAGUGACUUUGUCAUUGAGUUUGUUUUUAUCUGUUUG